CUGCCCCUGUCAGGGGGACAACCCGCCGAAAGGCGGGCUAAACCCGCGUACAUGCCACCGGGGCAUCCCGGAGGCAGGAAAGGCUUCGGCCGGACAGGGAUGGGCAUGCGGCGCAUUAGGCAGUAGGCGGGGUAACGGCCCACCUAACCGACGAUGCGUAGGGGUUCUGAGAGGAAGGUCCCCCACACUGGUACUGAGACACGGACCAGACUCCUACGGGAGGCAGCAGUGAGGAAUAUUGGUCAAUGGUCGGGAGACUGAACCAGCCAAGCCGCGUGAGGGAUGAAGGUACAGAGUAUCGUAAACCUCUUUUGUCAGGGAACAAAGGCGGGGACGUGUCCCCGGAUGAGUGUACCUGAAGAAAAAGCAUCGGCUAACUCCGUGCCAGCAGCCGCGGUAAUACGGAGGAUGCGAGCGUUAUCCGGAUUUAUUGGGUUUAAAGGGUGCGCAGGCGGUCUGUUAAGUCAGCGGUCAAAGCCCGGGGCUCAACCCCGGCCCGCCGUUGAAACUGGCAGUCUCGAGUUGGAGAGAAGUAUGCGGAAUGCGCGGUGUAGCGGUGAGAUGCAUAGAUAUCGCGCAGAACUCCGAUUGCGAAGGCAGCAUGCCGGCUCCACACUGACGCUGAGGCACGAAAGCGUGGGUAUCGAACAGGAUUAGAUACCCUGGUAGUCCACGCAGUAAACGAUGA
rnacentral:rRNA from 1 species